rnacentral:rRNA from 1 species
GACGUAGGGCGCGAGCGUUGUCCGGAUUUAUUGGGCGUAAAGCGCUCGUAGGCGGCUUGUCGCGUCAACUGUGAAAACCCGUGGCUCAACCAUGUGGUCUGCAGUCGAUACGGGCAGGCUAGAAUUCGGUAGGGGAGACUGGAAUUCCUGGUGUAGCGGUGAAAUGCGCAGAUAUCAGGAGGAACACCGGUGGCGAAGGCGGGUCUCUGGGCCGAUAUUGACGCUGAGGAGCGAAAGCGUGGGGAGCGAACAGG